rnacentral:rRNA from 1 species
GACGAACGCUGGCGGCGUGCUUAACACAUGCAAGUCGAGCGGAGCGGCGAACGGGUGAGUAACGCGUGAGUAACUGCCCCCCUCUCUGGGAUAACAGUUGGAAACGGCUGCUAAUACCGGAUAGUGGGGGAUGACUCUCGUCCUAUCAGCUUGUGGGUGGGGUAGUGGCCUACCAAGGCGACUACGGGUGGCCGGCCUGAGAGGGCGACCGGGCAAAUUGGUCUGAGAUACCGCCCAAACUCCUACGUGGGGCAGCAGUGGGGAAUAUUGCACAAGGGGGGAAACCCUGAUGCAGCAACGCCGCGUGCGGGAUGACGGCCUUCGGGUUGUAAACCGCUUUCAGCCAUGACUCGGUAGUGGCAGAAGAAGCACCGGCUAACUACGUGCCAGCCGCCGCGGUAAUUC